rnacentral:rRNA from 1 species
AGGGUUUGAUCAUGGCUCAGGAUGAACGCUGGCGGCGUGCUUAACACAUGCAAGUCGAACGGGAACCUCUGGAUUCGUCUGGAGGGGAGAGUGGCGAACGGGUGAGUAACACGUAGGUGACCUGCCUCGAAGACGGGGAUAACUGCUGGAAACGGUAGCUAAUACCCGAUGGUCUCGAUAAUUCGGUUUGUCGAGUAAAGGCUCCGGCGCUUUGAGAGGGACCUGCGGCCCAUCAGCUAGUUGGUAGGGUAACGGCCUACCAAGGCGAAGACGGGUAGGGGGCGUGAGAGCGUGACCCCCCACACUGGCACUGGGACACGGGCCAGACUCCUACGGGAGGCAGCAGUGAGGAAUAUUGCGCAAUGAGCGAAAGCUAGACGCAGCAACGCCGCGUGGGUGAUGAAGGCCUUCGGGUCGUAAAACCCUUUUCUGGGGGAAGAGUAAGGACGGUACCCCAGGAAUAAGCCUCGGCUAACUAUGUGCCAGCAGCCGCGGUAAUACAUAGGAGGCAAGCGUUAUCCGGAUUUACUGGGCGUAAAGAGCGUUGAGGCGGCUUCGUAAGUUGGACGUGAAAGCUCCCGGCUUAACUGGGAGAGGCCGUUCAAUACUGCGGGGCUUGAGGACAGCAGAGGGGGGUGGAAUUUCCGGUGUAGUGGUGAAAUGCGUAGAUAUCGGAAGGAACACCAGUGGCGAAGGCGGCCCCCUGGGCUGCUCCUGGCGCUGAAGGCGAAAGCUAGGGUAGCGAACGGGAUUAGAAACCCCGGUAGUCCUAGCCGUAAACGAUGGAUACUAGGUGUAGGAGGUUAAAAUUCCUUCUGUGCCGGAGCUAACGCGUUAAGUAUCCCGCCUGGGGAGUACGGUCGCAAGGCUAAAACUCAAAGGAAUUGACGGGGGCCCGCACAAGCAGCGGAGCGUGUGGUUUAAUUCGAUGCAACGCGAAGAACCUUACCAGGGCUUGACAUGUAGGUAGUAGUGAAGCGAAAGCGGAACGAUCCUUCGGGAAGCCUACACAGGUGCUGCAUGGCUGUCGUCAGCUCGUGCCGUGAGGUGUUAGGUUAAGUCCUGUAACGAGCGCAACCCCUGCCGUUAGUUACAAGUGUCUAACGGGACUGCCCGGCAAAACUGGGAGGAAGGUGGGGAUGACGUCAAGUCAGCAUGGCCUUUAUGUCCUGGGCUACACACACGCUACAAUGGCCGGUACAAUGGGUUGCCAAGCCGCGAGGCGGAGCCAAUCCUCUAAAGCCGGUCUCAGUUCGGAUUGUAGGCUGCAACCCGCCUGCAUGAAGUUGGAGUUGCUAGUAACCGCAGGUCAGCCACACUGCGGUGAAUACGUUCCCGGGCCUUGUACACACCGCCCGUCACGUCAUGGAAGCUGGUAACACCUGAAGCCGGUGAGCUAACCGCAAGGAAGCAACCGUCGAAGGUGGGACUGGUGACUGGGACGAAGUCGUAACAAGGUAGCC